rnacentral:rRNA from 1 species
CAUCGCCUUUUGAUAUAGAUAUAAAAGGUCCAGCCUGCCCAGUGACCUAGUUCAACGGCCGCGGUAUCCUAACCGUGCGAAGGUAGCGUAAUCACUUGUUCUUUAAAUGAGGACUAGUAUGAAUGGCACCACGAGGGUUAAACUGUCUCCUUUUUCUAAUCAGUGAAACUAAUCUCCCCGUGAAGAAGCGGGGAUUACCAUAUAAGACGAGAAGACCCUAUGGAGCUUAAAACAAAUUAACACCUGCUUCCAUCUAUCUUUAUUCCUGAGCUAACACAUAAAAUACAGCAUUAUUGAUUAAUAGUUUUCGAUUGGGGUGAUCAUGGAGUAAAAAUCAACCUCCACGACGAAAGGGCCACUUCCCUGAGCUAAAAGCUACAACUUUAAGCACUAAAAAAUUAACGCACUUUGACCCAAUUUUUGAGCAACGAACCAAGU